CACUUGAGCAACUCCAGAUCUGUCGUGAUGUAAUAGCUCAGUUUGUAUCGUGACAAGAACAUGUUUUGCACUGCUUCUAGUGGUGUGGCCUCACACACACUUUGCUCACGUAUGCAAAGGAAUGUUGCACAUACAAACACUGUCUGCAAACCAACUGUGGGAAGCUGAGAUUUGCCUGGCUGCUGACCUGGAUUUCAGGCAGCAGCAAAGCUGUCACUGGUGAGCAGCAGUGCAGACGGUGUUAGUCCUCAGUGGAAAUAGUCUAUGUAUUUAUUCCGAUAUACACAGUCUAGUACAUUCCAAUGUGUAAAAUGUAACAGCCAAGUAAAGCUCCUCCAUCGCUCAUUACUGUCAGUUCAGAGGCUGUAAGCCUGACUUCAUUAGGCUGACAUAAGGAGCCAGGAAGAGCCAUCUCCUUCAAAGUCUGCUGUGGAGUGAUUGCAGUUACGGUGUAUUGAAUUCAAACAACCGUAUCAGCUGUGUCCUGCAACUCACUGGAAUUGUUAACAUGCUUUGUUUACAUUGACAACUGCACUUCAAGGGUAAAAUUAAAGCUGAUUUUAAAGUUCAUGAAUUUACUCACCAGUUUUGUUUUCUUCAAGCUUGUGGUAUUACAGCCUGGCCUCAAAGGAGCACUCCUGAGUAUUGCUGUAGUUAAUGAUCUGUCGGAUUCAGACUGAAACUAGGAGUCCGCAGCAUGCAACUGGGCUCAACAGGAGCAUUGCCUGUUGUUCUAGAAUAGAAAAGGAAGUUUUCCUGCAGAAGUUACUGGUUUAUAAAAAUGCAUUUUCUGUGCUACCAUUUUGUUAUUUUAUGUUUAAAUAGCAGAUUACAGUGAGCUCUGUUCGUGAUUAAAAUCAUACAUAGAGCUUCCCUCUAACCAGAACCUUAUGAUGCUGGGUUUCUUUUUUUGCUUGCUUGUGGCUUUUUAGUGUGAGGACUUGGUGACUGUGCACCAUAGGGGAUGUACACGCUGGUGUAUCUGUAGGAUAAAUCACUUUAAGCUACUGAAGAGCCUUCUAGUCAGUACGUGCUUCAAAGCGUCAUUAAUGCAGAGCUAUAGAUGGGGCAAGCAACACUUUGAUCUUGAGAUGAGGAUGCUUUUAAAGAAACGCUGUGCAUGCUUCUAGAAAUGACUGAGGCAGAGGUGGGGAGGUGAUUAAGGCAUGGGCUGAAUGUUGUUUUCCUGCACAAAACUCAUCUGUUCAAUGAUUUCUUUCUGGCUUGUUACUCUUUUCAUUCAAAAUGAAUUCUGUAUGUGAAUACCUUUUGUUUCAGCCUGUGCUGGUUGUUGCACAUGUUUACAUACCUAAUUUAUAGCGUGCUUUCCUUUUAUGACAUGAUUUGGUUUAUUCCAGCUACAUUAUUGCCCAAACUCAGGAAGUUUCAUAGUUACUGUGAUUACAGUCCUCACUGUUACUUCUGGGGUCUACAGGCUCUACACCGAUAUUAAAUCAGAGCAAGCAAUAUGAAACAUAAAAUGCAAAUGUAAGACAGUAAAAGGUUGAAGACACUGCAAUUGUACAUACACUUGACUGCAUGCUGCUAAACCUGGACAUCAAAUCCUGGAGAAGGACAAUAUGUUGUUGAUGUUUCCAUCACGUAAUUAAAUUACUGUGGUUUUUAAGUAUGAGUGUUCUGGAAGACACGAGGAUGGAAAGAGGUACUGUGUAAAUACCUCCAGUAACAUGUUUGUAUCUGAGCUUUCUUUCAGGAAGAAAACUUUUUCAAUCAGAUACAGAAUUUGUAUAACUGAGGAAUUUAAGUGGAUCUGAAAAACUAACUCUGCUUCCUACACAUUCUCAGUGUCUAAAUGCCACUAAAAUUUCAGGGAAUGGAGUAACACUCGGUUUGUAGGAAAACAAACUCAUUUUUGAGCAUGUUCUCAAACUCCCUUACUUUAAUGAGGAUCACAGAAUUCUGUGGCUGACCUUAUUUUUGAGGCUGGUUGCAACAUUUCAGAUAGUCUUCACCCCCUUUGGGUGUGGGCCUGUCAGGAGCUCGUCUGUCAAUAAAAAGGGGAACUGCAGUCUGAACACUGCCAUUUAAACACUUGCGUUGUCUUGGUCCUGUACCGAUGGGCACACCUCAUAUUCCUUGACAUCAGAGCCUUAUGCCAGCAUCAGACCUUCAGCCUCAGAUUUAUAAAUCCUAUGGAUUAUUGUAAGUCUCUUUACUGCUGCUGAAACUUAUUUGGUGUCUCCCUUCAUGUGAGAUGCUGUUCAUCUCGCUGACAAUUGUUAGGGGAUGAUGAUUGUAGUGGUGGUGUCUUUGGCUUGAUGAUCAUGCUCAAAAUCUACCAUGAUUUCUCAUUCUUUUGGACUUGAACUGGCUGAUGUCUGUGCUGGAGAGGAAUGGACAAACAGCUGCGUUGAGGACGGUCUCCAUUACUGCCAGAAGCUCAGAGGGGUUGGGAAGGAAUGAGACUAACUUCUUUCUUCAUUUCUAGAUUAACUAAGGAGCUGUUCAAUUGAACAUUGGUGGUAACGUGCAGUCUGAUUAUUUCAGGCUGCCUUAUUCUUUGACCCAUCUCUUCCAGUGAUCGUUGGAGAUCUUGUUUCUGUAGUCAAUGAAAGUUUUGGGGGCUGGGCUCUCCAGCCCUUCUGCAGGAUGCUCUACAUGGGGCAGGAGUUGGGACUUAGGGCUUUGCUUUGAAGGGAACUUAAUGCAUCCCAGAAUUUUGUAAAACAACUGUAAAUUGUGUUUUUUAGAAUGACCACUUUUGGCUGCCACCCUUCCCACAUGGCAACUGCUUUCUGAAACACUUCUCCUUGAUUUCCAUGUUUGUAUGAAAACCAAACCUGUUGUUUAUUACAGGAUGUAUGUUUUUACUCUGUUGUACAGGACCCUGAGCACUGCAUAAAUAAACUUCUUUAUGAAAAGAGAAUUUUA